CGGACAGAGCCCGUGAAUCCGGGCGAUAGAAUUCAAAAUCGAUGGCGACUUUGUCGUCGUUGGUUUGAUGUUUCUGUCGCCAUUUACGGACGUCGCGACCCGUUCGGUGUUGGUCGAAGGAGCAUGCGUAAGUUCGUUGGUACGCGUCGACUUGUCGGCGUGUGCUACGAGUGUGUGCUUCCUGAUCAGCUCGCCGGACGGUAAGAAAUGGUGUCUGUGGCGCCCCUCGAGGGCGUYGCAGUGCCGGUCAGCGACGAUUCUUC
rnacentral:rRNA from 1 species